AUUGAACGCUGGCGGCAUGCCUUACACAUGCAAGUCGAACGGUAACGGGCCUUCGGGUGCCGACGAGUGGCGAACGGGUGAGUAAUGCAUCGGAACGUACCUUUCAGUGGGGGAUAACGUAGCGAAAGUUACGCUAAUACCGCAUAUUCUGUGAGCAGGAAAGCAGGGGAUCGCAAGACCUUGCGCUGAUUGAGCGGCCGAUGUCAGAUUAGCUAGUUGGUGAGGUAAAGGCUCACCAAGGCGACGAUCUGUAGCGGGUCUGAGAGGAUGAUCCGCCACACUGGAACUGAGACACGGUCCAGACUCCUACGGGAGGCAGCAGUGGGGAAUUUUGGACAAUGGGGGCGAACCCUGAUCCAGCCAUGCCGCGUGAGUGAAGAAGG
rnacentral:rRNA from 1 species